rnacentral:misc_RNA from 1 species
GAGUUUACAACUCCCAAACCCCUGUGAACAUACCUAUUGUUGCUUCGGCGGGAUCGCCCCGGCGCCCUCGGGCCCGGACCCAGGCGCCCGCCGGAGGACCCAAACUCUUGUCUUCAUGAGUAUCUUCUGAGUAAUACAAGCAAAUAAAUUAAAACUUUCAACAACGGAUCUCUUGGUUCU